GCUGUUCCGCAGGCAGAGAGAAGGUGCAGAGAGGCGAGACAGAGCGGGCCUGGCCAUGUGGAGGGCCCUGUGCGUGGCCUUAUUGCCCAUUGUAGUCACUGGACAGGUGGCCUUGGAGCAGCACCCCAGGGAACUGACCGUGCGAAUGGGAGAUCACGUCACCUUCCAGUGCAGCAUGAAAGUAGGUUAUAUGAGCAGCUACUACAUGUACUGGUACCGCCAGGGCCCAAAGAGCACUCUGGAAUGGAUUUACAGGGAGGGUGAUAUCUAUGGAGAAGGUUUCCAAGAUCGCUUUGUGGGAAAAGUGCAGAGCUCCAUGAACAGAUUCACACUGCACAUCCUGUCAACAAAGCAAGGGGAUGCAGCAACAUAUUACUGUGGAGCAGAACCACCCUGGAGCAGCUCUGCAGCAGAGUGGACCAAAAACCAACAGAUGGGGAAGACAGAUCUCUCAGCAUUUCUUUCUAGCAGCUGCUCCCCAGGGCUCUUGUCAGGCAGUGCAGGGAGGGUGGUAGAAGGGCUGGUAGCAUUUGUGGUGCAGGAGGAUCUCUUCUGGGAACUGCAGAGGCAGUCAGUUCAUAACACAUUUUGUCUGCCACUUCUUCCUUCCCAUGCCCUUCCCCUGCUCCAGAGUGUGAAGUCCAGCCCACAGGAGACAUUUCUCCCGGAAUUUUUCACCUUUGGUUCUUCGCAUUGAGUGCAGUUCUUCACAAACUCCUCCAGUGUGGGUCUACAGUUCCCAGUGCAGUCCUUCAGGAACAGACUGCUUCAGUGUGGGUCCCUGCAGGUUCUCCCAGAAAACCUGCUAUGACAUGGGCUACUUAUUCCAUGAGACCGCAGUUCCUGUCAGGAGCCUGCUCCAACGUGAGCUCUGCAUGGAGUCACAGACAUUUUCAGGACGUACCCAGCUGCUUCUGUGUGGGGAACUCUAUGGGCUGCAGGGCCAAUAUCUGCUCCACCAUCAGUUGACAUCACCUGCAUCACCAUGGGCUUCACCGUGGGCAGCAGGGUUAUCUCUGCUCUGGCCUCUGCAGCAGCUCCUGGCCCUCCUUCCUCAGGGACACUCAGCACGGCUUUGGGAAGUGGGAGUCAUGCUUAGCUGCAUUUACAGCCUUCUACUGUGAGACACAGGGUCUUGGUGGGUGAGGAGAGAGUGGAUGUUGUGCAUUCUUCAUUCAGUUGUGCUCUCAGCACUGACUUCCCUGGAAACCGUCUGGACAAAAUCCUUUGUUAUGGACUAGAAAACAGCUCAGUUACAAGGACUUUUCAAGGGCAGAUACUCCAUGCUCCAGCCUCUCCCCUUGGACUGCUGGAAAUGGAAUUCCUGAAGGCUGAUCUGGCUGCUGAAGCCUGAGGUGAAUAAAGCAUUCAGGACCUCAGCCUUUCCCAUAUCCUGUGUCACCUGGUCCCCAUCCCAUUCGGCAGUGGCCCCACAUUUUCCCCAGCCUCGUUUGUCCGUGCAGCCUCCUGGCACGUU